AAAAAUGACCAUAUAUAAAAAAAGAAGAUGUGGUAUGAUUGCCAAUGAGACAACUACCCACAAAAGACCAAAAUGACACAGACAUUAACAACUAUAGGUCACCGUACGGCCUUCAACAAUGAGCAAAUCCCAUACCGCAUAGUCAGCUAUAAAAGGCCCCGAUAAGACAAUGUAAAACAAUUCAAACGAGAAAACUAACGGCCUUAUUUAUGUAAAAAAAAAAUGAACGAAAAACAAAUAUAUAACAUAUAAACAAACGACAACCACUGAAUUACAGGCUCCUGACUUGGGACAGGCACAUACAUAAAUAAUGUGGCGGGGUUAAACAUGUUAGCGGGAUCCCAACCUUCCCCCUAACCUGGGACAGUGGUAUAACAGUACAACAUAAGAACGA
rnacentral:lncRNA from 1 species